CAGGGGGAGGCGCCGUAGUAGCUCGCUGAGUGAACCGCCGAAGAGCUCAAAUUUGAAAUCUGGCGUGCUCAGUGCGUCCGAGUUGUAAUCUAUAGAGUCGUUUUCCGUGCCGGACUGUGUCCAAGUCCCUUGGAACAGGGUAUCAAAGAGGGUGAUAAUCCCGUACUUGACACAAUGACCGGUGCUCUGUGAUACGUCUUCUACGAGUCGAGUUGUUUGGGAAUGCAGCUCAAAAUGGGUGGUGAGUUCCAUCUAAAGCUAAAUAUUGGCGAGAGACCGAUAGCGAACAAGUACCGUGAGGGAAAGAUGAAAAGCACUUUGGAAAGAGAGUUAAACAGUACGUGAAAUUGUUAAAAGGGAAACGAUUGAAGUCAGUCGUGACUGAGAGGCUCAGCCGGUUCUGCCGGUGUAUUCCCCUCAGUCGGGUCAACAUCAGUUUUGUUCGGUGGAUAAGGGCAGUUGGAAGGUGGCACCCUCGGGUGUGUUAUAGCCAGCUGUCGCAUACAUCGGAUGAGACUGAGGAAUGCAGCUCGCCUUUAUGGCCGGGGUUCGCCCACGUUCGAGCUUAGGAUGUUGACAUAAUGGCUUUAAACGACCCGUCUGAAAACCGGGAACAAAAAUUUUUUUUUUUUU
rnacentral:rRNA from 1 species